rnacentral:RNase_P_RNA from 2 species
UGGAUCGACCGGGCGAUCGCAGGUGGCUUUGACCGCCUGAGGAAAGUCCGCGCUCCGCAGAGCUCGAUGCCGGGUAAUACCCGGGCGGGGAGACCCGCGGAAAGGACCACAGAAAAGGACCGCCUGGUCUAUGGGUCGUGGCGAAGGGUUCCUUUGCCAUUGAUCUCCUUCGAUCAGGUAAGGGUGAAAAGGUGGUGUAAGAGACCACCGGCGUUGGCAGUGAUGUCAGCGGCCAGGCAACCCCCAUCGGGAGCAAGGCCAAGCAGGAGCGAAGUCCGUAUACGGACGGGAGGUUGCUCGUCUUCCUUGAGCUCCGGGUAGGCCGCAUGAGCCUCACGGUGACGUGUGUGCCGAGAUAGAUGAUCGCUCAGAUCGAUGUCUGAGGGAUGAAGGAUCCGCUCUGUUGUAAAUUCGUCAAACUAGCCUAGCGGUUUGGCAAAGAGUGAGCCCGUAAACCGCAGAUAUCUUUCGGACAGAACGCGGCUUAUAGGUCGAGCCACAGU